rnacentral:lncRNA from 1 species
GCACCUGCGCGACAGCCCGCCGCUUCCCUCCGCUCCCUUCGCCGCGCCUCGCGUGCUAGCGGUGCCCUUGUGAGCCACUGCGUUCUCCAAGGCCAGAACGGGACAGAUGGAGAAAUUGAGAUGAGAGCUCAUCCACAAGAUUACCCAUCAAUGAGCACCAAUAGCAACCAAAUCCACUAGAAGACUGGGAGCUUUUAAGUCAAGAAACUUACAUCAGUAUCAUCAUUCCAAGAAGCGGUAUCCAAGCUGUUUUAUCGAAAGUGCGCAUGGGAGAUAAGACUCUGAGAAUUUAUAGAAACAAACAUUAGAAGGCAGGAAUGUGGAGAGAAGAAAGCUACCUGACAAGGGAAUCUCAGGAUACAAGGAAAACACCAAGGAAUGUAAAUCUCUGUUUACCACAAGCCCUCUGUCUCCACAAGUUCUGUGUCCAGAACUGAAGGCAGAUCCAAAUACAAUAUUCAUGGGAUGCAAAUUCCCAUGUAUGCCAAGAGAUAACUGCUUUAUUGGAGGCCUAGUGGGGAACUGAAACUCCCACUCCUGCUUAGCAGGAAUGAGAAGCCCCCUUUCAGAGGUCAACAGAAGCUGAGUUAAGAAACCUGAACUUUUACCCUACCUGGCAGUAAUGAAGCGACACCCACCUUCGUCUGUGAGGAUGGUGUGAGAUGAAGGUAGCUAAAACAAAAGGUUUAAAUAAGAUUCAGAGUCUCAUCAUAUUGAAAUGUCCAUAUUUCAGUGGAAAAUUACUCAUCAUACAAAAACAAGAAAGAACUAAAACUAAGUGAGAAAAGAUAAUAAAUAUAUGCCAACAUCAAGAUGACACAAAUGUUAGAAUUAUCUGGCAAAGCUUGUAAAGCAGCCAUCAUAAAAAUACUCCAAUGAACAAUUAAAACAUUCUUGUAGCUAAUGAAAAUUUAUUUGGAAAGCUUCAACAAAGAAAUAGGAAGUCAUAACCAAAAAUAGAAGAUAAAAGAGUCAAAUGGAAAAUUUUGAACUGAAGAAUACAAUAACCAAUAUAAAAAACUCAAUGCAUGGGCAGAAUGGAGGAGACAGAGGAAAUAUUGGUGAACUGGAGGAAACAAUAUAAAUUGACCAUCUAUACAACAGAGAGAAGAUAGAGUGAAAAAAAGAUGAAAGGAACCUCAAAGACCUUCGAGAUUAUAGCAAAAAAAACCAAAAUAAAACAAAACCAAAAACCAACAAACAGACAGACAAAAAAUUAACCUUUGCAUUCCCUGAGUCCUAGAAGACCGGAAGAUGGCAGACCUGAAAAACAUUCUAAGAAAUAAUGGCUGAAAUGUGUUUAAAUUUAGCCAAAGACAUAAAUAUACAGAUUUAAGAAACUGAGUGAAUCCCAAAUAGGAUAAACUCACAGAAAUUCAUAGCAAGACACUCAUAGUCAAACUUUUGAGAACUGAAGACAAAAAAGAAAAACAAA